UGGGGAAUAUUGGACAAUGGGCGCAAGCCUGAUCCAGCCAUGCCGCGUGAGUGAUGAAGGCCUUAGGGUUGUAAAGCUCUUUUAUCCGGGACGAUAAUGACGGUACCGGAGGAAUAAGCCCCGGCUAACUUCGUGCCAGCAGCCGCGGUAAUACGAAGGGGGCUAGCGUUGCUCGGAAUCACUGGGCGUAAAGGGCGCGUAGGCGGCGUUUCAAGUCGGGGGUGAAAGCCUGUGGCUCAACCACAGAAUGGCCUUCGAUACUGGGACGCUUGAGUAUGGUAGAGGUUGGUGGGAACUGCGAGUGUAGAGGUGAAAUUCGUAGAUAUUCGCAAGAACACCGGUGGGCGAAGGCGGCCAACUGGACCAUUACUGACGCUGAGGCGCGAAAGCGUGGGGGACAAACAGGAUUAGAUACCCUGGUAGUCCACGCCGUAAACGAUGAAUGCCAGCUGUUGGGGUGCUUGCACCGCAGUAGCGCAGCUAACGCUUUGAGCAUUCCGCCUGGGGAGUACGGUCGCAAGAUUA
rnacentral:rRNA from 1 species